GACGAACGCUGGCGGCGUGCUUAACACAUGCAAGUCGAACGCUGAAGCACCAGCUUGCUGGUGUGGAUGAGUUGCGAACGGGUGAGUAAUACGUGAGUAACCUGCCCUUGACUCUGGGAUAAGCCCGGGAAACUGGGUCUAAUACUGGAUGCUACAUGUCACCGCAUGGUGGUGUGUGGAAAGGGUUUACUGGUCUUGGAUGGGCUCACGGCCUAUCAGCUUGUUGGUGAGGUAAUGGCUCACCAAGGCGACGACGGGUAGCCGGCCUGAGAGGGUGACCGGCCACACUGGGACUGAGACACGGCCCAGACUCCUACGGGAGGCAGCAGUGGGGAAGAGUGCACAAUGGGCGAAAGCCUGAUGCAGCGACGCCGCGUGAGGGAUGACGGCCUUCGGGUUGUAAACCUCUUUCAGCAGGGAAGAAGCCACAAGUGACGGUACCUGCAGAAGAAGCGCCGGCUAACUACGUG
rnacentral:rRNA from 1 species